rnacentral:lncRNA from 1 species
AGUCAUUAAGAAAUUCCGUAAACUUGAAUAGCAGCGCAUUUAGUUUCCCACAUAUACAGUAACCUUGAUUUCUGAAAUAGUAUGAAUCAAUGAAUUUGGUAAAACGAAUACAAUAUAAACCUUGAAUGCUUCCAUCUUAAACAAGGCACAAAAAAAAAUUCAAAUAUACAAGAGGUGCAAGAAACACCGAUGAAGCAGCAAAAGCAGAACAUGAUUGUAGUUAUAUGAAUAUAUUUCUGAGAGCUGCAGUGUUUACAAAUUAGUAAAGAAAGAAUAAAUAUAUUAAGCAGCCAGAGGAAGCGUUAGGUGAAGAUAUAAUUCUUUGAAGUGAUUUCGGUGUAGUAGUAGAACUAAAGCCUCUUCCCGUGACUCCUGUUGCAAUACUUCAAAGAAAAACUUUAAUUGUUCAAAAUUGAUUUAUAUGGAAGUUAAACCCGGGGAUUGUGUAGGCGAGGUCUAUUGCAGAAAACCCGGCCGUUGGCCCGCACAAAUGCUGCUAUACCAACACUAAUGCUUGCCCACAUUAGCGAAAAGAACAAGUGCCGAAAAUCAUAUCGAACUGUAGGAAAAAUGAACAGUCAGGCUUAAAGAUAACCGAUUUUACACCAUAUGUGAUAAGUAGUUGAUUAAUCUAUACGUGGUUGGCCUUAACCCCAAGCUAGCAAAAUCUAUAUUAGACGGUUAAACAAGACAAAUAGAGACAAAACUUCACUAUGUAACAACUUGAUAAUAAUGUAAUCAGUACAGGAAUAUCUAAUUUACUCUGCUUGUAUUCCUGCAACGAGGGAAGGACAAAAAUUCUCAUAAUCUUUGAAAGUCACGUUUUGCUUAAAUAUCUAGAAAUCGGGCAUUUUACGAUGCUUCAAAUUCUUUCCUUGACAACCUAAUUAUUUUAUUAUGAAAACUAAAGAUCCAUAUUAGAAGUGGCUUUCCUCCUUAUAUAUAUUUUUUGAACGUCUUUCCUUUUCUUAUAUAAAAGAGCCUAAAAUUGCAUACAUGAAUUUGGGUCAGUACUGAAAUGACCCAUAUAUACAUAACCACCUAAAAAUGAGGCGGGGUCGCAUAAUCCUAUAAACCAUGAAAGUCACUAAUAUAGCGUAAUAAACAUAUAAUUCACACAUAUAGAGAAUUAAUAUACGUAAAUGAUGUCAGACCGUCCACGCAUGAAGAGGCUACCCAUCAUACAAAGAAGUCAUGACUAAAGACUCGUUUGAGUUAGGUGACUCAUCAUUGGGUGUGUAAUUGUGUCCACCACCGUAGAUAAGUUUACCGAUAUUUUUUAUGAACUUUUUUAUGUAAGUUACUAUUGUGGCGGCCUUGAAUUACAAACUAAAGGAACGCAACUUUGACUUAUUCUUAUCGUGUUCCCUUUACCUUAUCACUCAUUUACUAGUGCCACCUGCUCCACCAUUUUGAAAGGCAUUUUAUUUUAACUUGGAAAGAAGCAUCUCACCUAAAAUCACUUAAUAAAAGUAUAAAAAAAAAAGUGAACUGAAAAAUGAAAAAUCAAAUUUUUGCACGCAAUUCAAAAUGCAGUAAAGUAAUUUUGGCCCUUUCUACACUGCAACAAGGUCUUCAAGGAUUCACACAAAUUUUCCAACAUCUUAUAAUGACUAGACUAGUGAAUUUAGAAUUCCUUGACUCUGAUUCGCCAUCACCUGCAAUGCAACAUAACAAGCUAGCUUUUCACACUGUAAUGUGAAGUAUGAACCUAGUCUUUAUAAUGAGAUAUAACCCUCCCUUUUGUGAUCAAAACUUAGUUACAAAUCAUAGAUAGCUAUGGCUUAUGCUUUGCAAAACUAUGCUCUUAAUAUUUUUCUUUUGGCCUUGGCCUUAAUCCCAUUUGAGGGAGCCUGUGGCUCCCAUCAUCACCAAUUGCAGCACCUCAAAUCCCUUCACUUCUCUCUGUUUCAACAUGAAACCAUAAACAGAACAGGAUAUGUCAUAGUGAAUGGAGUGCAAGGAGGGCCAGGAAUCACUGAAACCACAACCCCUUUUGGCACUCUAUUUGUCUUUCAGGACCCUUUGACUGUCACAGCCAACAGAUCCUCCAAACUUGUUGGAAUUGCUGAGGGAACUUCCAUCACCUCAAGCCUUGAUGGGCUUCGCAGCAUUUCGAUUGCGAAGCUAACUCUGCGCCUGAAAAAUCACAGGGGUUCUGUUUCCAUUGUUGGAGGUACACAUAAUGUUAAGCCUUCAGAUCAUCCAAUAGUGGGAGGUACAGAAGAUUUCUUGUUUGUGCAAGGCUAUGUUACCUCUUCUCCUGUUGAUCUAAAGGGUGUUACCGUUACCUACAAGAUUGAAUUUCAUCUAUACUGGCCUCCUUAUGCAACUCAUGCCUCUUAAUUAGGAACUUGAUUUGUUCUUAUUUUAGUUGAAGGCUCAUGUUUUACAAAGCUGUAUCAGAGCAGUUUUUGAAAUGAAAAACGUCAUGGUUUAUGUUUGGAAACUUAGUUUUUACAUUUGUAUUUUACAACUACUCCUACACUCAUCCAAUUAUGGUACACUAUAGUGAAUAUUGUAAUAAAUAUAAAGGAUUUUCAACAGUGACGGAUCCAGGAUUUCUUAGUUGUGGGGCCAAAACACACGCACGUACAUAUAAAUAAAAUAUAAAAGAUUUAGUGUGGGCAAAUAAUACAAAUAACAUAUAUUUUUUACUGUACAAACAAGCAAGAUACAUAGUAUUUAAAAAACAUUUAACCACAAGGGGUGACACAAGUGGUGACUGUCUAUUUUUUUAAGAGAUUUCACCUAGGCUUCUGACCCGGGUUUGAAAGAGGAGAAAAAAAUUAUGUGAUCCUUUGCAAGAUUGUGAAUGGAACUUGAAAGCAGCAGAGUAUUAGGUUCAAGCUGAGAGCAUGAGCAAACUAAACUUUCGCAGGUUCAAAUCUUUUAAUUUGUUUUCAGAUAGUAUUCACAAGCAAAAUAUAAAAAUCCCAGCAUAGAAGAUCAUAUACAAUAGAACGUAUAACCCUUGACAAUACGUUGAGGCAGUGAACAACUGUUUACAUUAUUUUACUUAUCGACUAUCCUAGGUUUAAUGAGGUAAUUUCAUAUGGUUCAACAAAACUUGCAUAAGCUUUGAAAUGAAAAGAUUGAUUUUCUUAAUGGAUGGAUGGGAUAACCAAACAAGAUAGCAAAUUAUAUACUAGGGUGUUUCUCAAAAAAUAGUCCUCAGUUCCUAACACGUGAACAAGGAAAGAUGGCACCUAAUCCUUACAGGCAGAAAGAGGCUAUCAAGAAAGUCUGAACAGUUUGUGAGCUGCUUAUUAUAUCAAGGAAAGUCUAAGCAGCCUUUUAUUUCCUUGAAAAAAGAAAAACUUAGGACAUUAGGUCAGGUGGUGGGGAUCAUUUUAUUUCAAAGACAUGUAUGUGCCGCAAUGAGUUUAUAAUGAACCUAAAUUUAUCAACAAAAGUCAAGAAUCCUAAUUGACAACAAGUUAUCAUAGUCAUUAAGAAAUUCCGUAAACUUGAAUAGCAGCGCAUUUAGUUUCCCACAUAUACAGUAACCUUGAUUUCUGAAAUAGUAUGAAUCAAUGAAUUUGGUAAAACGAAUACAAUAUAAACCUUGAAUGCUUCCAUCUUAAACAAGGCACAAAAAAAAAUUCAAAUAUACAAGAGGUGCAAGAAACACCGAUGAAGCAGCAAAAGCAGAACAUGAUUGUAGUUAUAUGAAUAUAUUUCUGAGAGCUGCAGUGUUUACAAAUUAGUAAAGAAAGAAUAAAUAUAUUAAGCAGCCAGAGGAAGCGUUAG